GCGUCCCCAUCCCCGCUCCCGGCCGCUCCCCGCCUCCCCUCUGGCUCCUGCCGUUCCCCCUCCUCAGGAUCCCGCGCGGAGCUGUUCCCCAUCCCCGAUUUGCGGCGAACUCGGUGUCCCUUAUCCAAAAAUUCCGGGCACGGGGGAGUCAAGCCCGCUUCCCGUCUCCACCUUGCAGCGCCCGUCCCUCACCCGGGCUUCCCGGGACUGCCUCUGUGUGACCACCGCUCUCCUGAUUUUAAGUUUCUUGUCCCUCCUCUCCAUACUCCCCCAACUUUUUACUGCUGUUUUCUCACUUCGCUGCCGAGUUUAAGGUUUAUAUAAGGGAUCCUGUGUUUUUUGUCAAAACUGGGUUGAAAAGUGCUCCUUGGUUUGUUAUUUUCAGGCUGCAUCCCUCUCCCUUGUAGGGCAACUCGCAUAAGGAGUCUCCAUCCUACAGUUUUUUCCUUGGCGCUAAUGAAUUAAGCCAGAGCCGGCUUCUUCACGUGGAGUUGGCUUUCGGAAGCCUUUCGCUCUUAAAAGCAGCAAAUCGCUUGUGUAACGACUGAACGCUCUUUCAGGAGUCUCUUUUGUGAAGGGACCUGUUUUUGUCUUCAUUGCCUCCCCUUGGUGAAGGGCUUUGUUUCAUUUUGGUGGGAACUGGCAGGCGCUCGGGGCAGAGGAUAUCCAGCUUUCUUUCUGGGUUCCCCCUGGCAGGAAGAAGGGUGUUUAAUAGGUGGGCAUAAAACAGUAGAAGAAAGAUCAUGUACAUCUUAUGUGACAGCUAGGAGAGUAACCUUGGCAGGGAAAUGAGGCAGGGAAACAGCAAAGCAAGUUGGCAGCAGAGGACUUCAGGCAUGCUGCGGUCUGUGUGUUGUGCCGGUGGACAGAGCUGUAGUCCGAGGUGAACACCCCUCCCCUGCCGCUGCUGCCGAGCUGUGCCCCUCCUCGCGUGCUUUACAGUCAAUGACUUAAAGUGAACGUGAUACACAGAAAUGUGAAGCACAUGCAAUUCCUUAGGGAAAGCAGGUUUAGAAAUGCUUAGGCUCGUUUGUGUUUAGGUUCAUAAUGCAUCCCUUUCCAUUUCCAGUGUGUGGGCAGGUGCAGGCUCCCCAUUCAACAGGGAUACCCUACUUCUUUUGCCCGCUUGGCAUUCAGCACUGAAGCUGCUAAUUUAAGGACCUUUGCCUAGAGGCCAAACCUCUGUUGCAAUUGAUUUUUUAAAAAUUCUCAUAGCUGUGCUCAGUGCAUUGUAAUGCAGAGUAAUUUCACAUACCCGUCUUUGAUGUUAUGGGAGUGCUCACAUGUAUUUGUGGAAAUAAGGUUAAUUUGACUGAAUCUCAGGGAGUCUGUAAAUAGAAACAGAAAAUACACUUUGGCACAAUGAGUAAUGUGGGACAAAAGAUAUUUGGCAAAUAUCUAUUGUUUGUUUGGAGUUUUGUUUUUUGUGGGUUUUGUUUGUUUGUUUGGGUUGUUUGUUGUUGUUGCUGUUGAGUACCAAUGUUAGGGACAAGCUGAAGGAACAGUAUUGGCUGGCAUUUCUCUCGAGUGCUUCACAGCUAUUGAAAAAGAGUCUGGUCACAUUUAUUCUUUUAAAAGUUCUAUCGUUCUACUAAUUGCUGUGAAUCAUAAAACAGAAAAGUACAAAUCACCUCUUUAAUUACCUAGGAAAUGUGGGAAAAUGAAGGGAUAAAGCUGUCUGAAGGUUCAGCCUUGAGAAUUGCUAGGACAACAGGCAACCUGUGUUUCCUCUUGCUAACAAGCAUUGUAACUUCCAGCAUGAACCUCUGCAACCCUAAGGCUUCCCUUUCCCCUGCGUUGAGCUGCUGGGAAAGAGCUGUUUGUUCCGAGCCUUGUGUUCACAGGCAGACACACAUGCAUGAAUGAGUUUUCCCUGAGAAAUGGGGAGCUGGGAAAGCUCAGUUACAGGAGCAGAGGAGGAGCUUUUGCUUCAGUUGUCGCUGCGAGUUCCUGUGAGUGUUUUUUGGGGUCUCUAAGGAGCUGCUGGCAGGGUCUCUGGGAUGCACUGCUAGCAACAGGGGAAUGCCCUGCAGACCUGGCAAAGUUAACGGAAGUCCAUUGGCAGGCUUUGCCAACGGGAUGCGCCUUUACGUGUGGGAGGUUACAUUUAGAGUGAGCCAGGAGCCUGAUUUUGCAGUCGAGGCACUGCUAGGGGGCUGGUUGCUUCUUGACUCGAUAAAAGAAAAUCCAUGUAUUCAUGGAUUCUGGCUUGACAACUCCGUGGUAAAUCCUGAUCUCCCUUUCAGGAAUUGAUUGAUUUAUGAACGUAAAUUAUACCUGUCUUCUCCAAGCACAAAAAGAACAGCUUCAGAAUGCAUUGUUUGCAGAUGAAAUCUGGUAGUAAUUCCUGUUAUAAAAAUGGUGGUAACUAUACCUGAGAGGGAAUUUUUUUCAGUUUGUUGCCCUGCCAGGAACAAUUCUCCAGACCAGCAGCUGCUUUCCCUAAGGAAGUCUGAUAAACUGUAGUCUCCUCACUAGGAGGGAGAAGUUUAAAUGUAGGAUGAGACAGGAGCUCUGAACUCUCAUUCAAGCAGCAUCGUGUGCUGGCUGUGUGACUUUCAGCAGGUCGCUGGCACGGGCACAGGGGUGUGCAGUCCCACAGUGGCAGCAGCACUGCGUGCAGGCAGUGUGUACAUUGUGCAUCUGCUGCUUUAUGAGAUAGCAGGUCUGUCUCUCUGUGAUGGCUUGCUGCUGAGUCAAAGCUGGUUCCAGGGGCAGCAGUGGGGCCUCGGGGAGAUGGGAAUCAAGGCUGGCUAGGACUGUAAAGCCAGCAUGAUAGGAACAUUUGUGUUAGGGAAAUGCUUUGCUCAGAGGUCAAACAAGCAGGACUGCAGAGCAGAAGGUAUGAUCUGUUCAUCUGGAGAUGUCCUUGUGCAUGUCUCCAUCAAAAACAAGUGAGCUUUCCAAAAAUACCUGUUACGUUAAAAGUCAGCCUGCAUUCGUAAAAAAGACACUGAGGCCUGGAAUUCCACCUAUUGUAUCUAAGAUGUUUUACAAAUGUUUCCACAUGACUCACCAUAGCUUCUAUUUUUUACUACACACUCAUUUUGGAGUGAUUCUUAUAGUUUCUGGUGCAUUUGUGCUUCAUCUUAUUCCUGAAUGCAAGUUAUUGCAAUAUUGUGACUGAUGCCUAGCAACUGCUGAUUUCACAUUUUAAACUUCCAGAAGAAAAAAACCUUAGAUAAUACUGGCAUUCCUCCUUCACAGAGAGAUUUUAAAAACAGGAUUAACCUGAGCACUGGAAACUGAAGAUAUACAGCUAAGUUCCACUUCCCUUAACUCUUCACAGAAUUCCUGUGUUUCUGUGUCUCAGGAAUUUUCUCUGCUCUUUCCAUAUGUUGAGUAGCUGGCUAAAGGCCAUCACUUCCAUGGUCCAUGUUUGGAUAUGUAUGCCAGUUGGAGGAAUUAGUGUUGGAGAUCCACUCUGCUGUUGAUUGUGCAGACUGCCCUGAAAGCUUCGAAGGUGAGGGGUGAGCAGCAUGAGGAGUACAAGAAGAGGAGUAAAGGUCUUCAAUAUCUGUCUGAAAGUGAGCUUGCUGCUUUCAAAGCCACGCUGAGAUUUAGAGAUUCCUGUCUAGGUUAUUUCUGCCAUGUUUGCUUGUGUUUUGUUCAGACACAUAUAUUUGCAAUUAAGAUGCAUAUCUAAAACCAUGUUCCCUCUCCCUGCCACCCUCAGGCUUCUGGUCAUCAAUGUCCAAAAUUUCAUAGCCAUGUUUGCUGGGUGCCUAGAGCAUGCAAGUGUGGCACAUUCCACUGUCUUGUCUGAGUGCAGGGAGAGGAUUUGCAGACUGGGUCUCCUUAGAGAUAUCCACACUCUAAGGUGAUUUGAUACAGCCUUGCAGCAUGGAAUUCAGAGUAGAUCACAGCCCUGAUUCUUAUUUCUAAGGGGUAAAGAAACCCAACCCAAACUUGAUAAGCUUAGCAGUUAGUCCUUUUGACCACUGAGUUGUGGACCAGAAUUCAUUUUGAUGUAGCUGUUUCCUGCACAAGAGUGCCCUAAUGUGAUGGUAGAGAUGAAGCGGGAAAGGAGGUCUGAGAGGACAGAGCUCAUCUUGCUCUCCCUAAGCUGAGGUAGUCUUUACAGGCAGCUCAAGACUCAAAGAGCCACAUAAUCAGACUGAAAGAGUUUUCUUGUGUCCCUGCCCUUCUCUCUCAAAAGGUAUAUAUGAAGGUGGCAGAUAUUCUAAUGGCUUUUAACAGUCAUUUCAGUAGCCUAAAAAAAGAAUUCAUUGUUUAUUAAAAAUGGAACAGAAAUAUUUGCAGACAUUGCAUGUCACACAGGCUUCAGUUUUCCUGUGAUCAUCUUUGUAAAAUAUUUUGAGGGGAACUCAAAAAAUGCAUUAUAGAAGAGGUGAAUAUUUACUAUUUAUUCCGUCUUUGACUAGGAAAGUGUUAGUGUUCCUUCAAUAACACUUACAUAACUGUCCUAAUUUUUAUACACUGUAUUAAGCUAACUUCUGUGUAUUUUAAAAUGGAUAUAUUUAUACAAAAGAUUUAAAAGUAGUAUAAGUUAAUCUUUUAUCAUUGAAAACAUGAAAAUCCGUUGUUGUAUCUCUUAGAGCUGGUUGGAAAAAUCAGAUUUUUAUAAUAGUCUUAAAAAUAACAUUCAGUAGUCUAGACAGAAUUAAAUAUUAGCUGGCAGUCAUUAGUUAUUUUUUUCAGAAUAAAAAGUGAUCCAAAUAUGAGUUAGCAGUGCAUUAAAUACCUUUCUAGUAGAUAAAUGAUUUAGAAGUACAUGACAGAUUUUAAAUGCACACUGACAUUUUUCUUCCACAUAGACAUGUAAUACCUAUGCUAAAGAGGCUGGAUUAGAAAAGACUGGCAGAGAAAGGAAUAGCUUAAAAAUGAGAGGAACCAGUAAGAAAAAAAAAAAAAAGGAAAAAAAAAAGGCUAUUUGAAACAGGUUUUUGCUUUGUUACAAAGUACCAAGUACUCUCUGUUUCUGCACUGGCAGCAGCAGUUUUACCUGUGAAACUGAUACUGUUACUGUGAUAUUAAUUACACCGGGUCAGCAGCUCUUCAGAGGUACGGUGAACACAACCCAGUAGAAUGAUAGUGAGUAGAAUGAGGCAACCAGUAAAUAGAAGGGCUCAGAAGUAAAAUGAGUAGCAAAUGUUUUGGAAGUUGUCCCAGUCCACAGAAAUUGGCUGCUAACUGCUUUAGUUAAAUUUGGUACAGUUUUCUUCUGCAGGGAAGCAAUAUUGACAUUUGUGCCCAAGGAUGCUGGUAUAAUUUAGAAGCAUUAGUCAUGUACCUUAUAUAUAAAAUGUUGCUAAAAGAAAAGGGAGAAUUAAUCUAUCCUCCCUCUGCAAUGUAGAUUGUGUACAAAUCAGCAGAGGAGGUUUAGAGCAGAUGCUUGGAAAGAAAGCUUUCUAGCAGGGAGAAUGGUGAAGCAGAGCAGAAGAAGCUACAUCAAGGAAUGACAAUUUUUUGAUUUGUAGAUCCCUUCUACAAAUGUUCCCAUGGAGAAUACACUUCACAGUCAAAUUUGCUAACAACAAACUUGCCUUUUGAAGUUCCUAACCCCUAAGCAUCCCAAUCCCUGAUCCACAAAAGCCACUAGCACAGGUUUUCUAUGCCUUAGCAUCUCCUUUGAAAUGAUGGUAAGUGGGGGCAGGUGCUCAGCCCAAAGCCUCAGUAAACAGCCACAGCAUCAGGCUGAGCUGAGCCGUAGUGCUCUCAUGUAAGUUUCAUUGAAGCAGAAUUUGGCUUUAAAUGGCUUGUGAGUAAUGCAGAGAACUGUGUGAGAACUGACAGGGAACGUGGCUGUGCUUAUGCUUUAACCCAUAAAAUUUUGUCCUGAGGAACUGUUGUAGUGAAGGAGCUCUAGAUCCUGUCUUUGGUAGUAAUAAAUCAGAAUUUUGCAUAGAAAUCUGCUGGAGUAUCAGUGGGAUGGGCAGGGGUGUGGGGUAGGAUGGUGAGCAUGGAUGUGAAUCUGUAGCCUGAGCAGGACAGAUCACAAAUCACACAGGGGUUGAAAUGACAGGGGAAAAAAGCUUGUGAGGUGUGGCAGUAGGUUUGCCCUCACAGAGGGCUUUGAAUCCCAAACAGAAACACAUUGACAUCAUGCUGCAAAAACAGCAGGAUGGUUGUUCCAGUCUGGAAGCCUUUUCACUAUAGGAAGUACAGCCAUGCUUCCUUUUCUCUGAUUUGCCUUGAUUCCCCUUGGGCUUUUAUAUUUUGUUACUGGCUUGGUAUCUUCCCUAUCCAUCAGUCCAGCGCAUCCCAUUAAGCAGCUUUUCUUGAUUGACUAAUGAGAUGCUAAAUUUAGCAAUGCUUUUAUCACUGUCUUUUAUUCCUCAGCUCCAUUUCCUGCGUUUCACUCAUUUCACUUGCUAUUCUUCAGUGGUUACUCUGUUGUUACUGUAUUUACUGCUGUAUGCCCAUCACCUGACUGGCAUUUCUUCAGUCAAUUGUUACUCAUCUCUUCUGUCAUUUCCUUGCCCACUCCUUCCCAGUUCUCCUCCCCCUCCUAUUUCAUUCAGGUUUGCUCUACCAUCUUCCCCACCCAGUACAUCACUCUCCUCCUAUGCCCAAGAUCCCCUUUCAAAAGGUAAACAGAGGACAAAAGCAUUUCUACCUUAAGAGAGCUGUCCAAGCCAGGCAGGAUGAAUCCUGCUGGUGGGGUCCCAUCUCUGCUCGUUAACUGCUGAAGUCUAACUAGGACAGGGCAGAUGCUUGACUUGCAGAGAGUGAAGUGUAAGAUGAAUACCAUUCAUGUAAGCUACCAGGACUUUAAUGCUGAGUGUUAACGCAGCUUGUGCUACCGUUGUUACAAUGACAGAUAGAAAAGUCAUUUAGGAAGCUGUUGGUAAGUCCUACGAUUUUUGACAGUUGUUUAACCCACAUCUCUAAAGCUAUUCAGAUUUAACAUUUUUGAAUCACUUUUUUUGUGUCCUGAUGAUUAGCAGCAUAAAAUUCCAGGUGCAAGCUGGCCUUUUAAUCCAAAUAAUAGCUUUUCCCCCAUCAUACAUAAAUACAGCCUUCACAUAUCAGUGUGUUAACUGCAGUAAUGCUACUCUCAGAAGAUUAAAAGAAAUAUUUCUACUUUCAUCUGCCUAGCAUAUCCCAAGGCUGUGAGGUAUUUCAGAAUUAGCAUAAAUACUGGUCUAGAUGCGCUCUUUCAGCUUUUACUUAAAGGAAUUGCUGUAUUCUUGACACCUGCUUAUUUCAUUCUUCAAAAAUGUAACCUGUAAGAAUAAAGUCAUCCAAGGACAGAAGUAAGAGCUCUGUAAGGGGUUACUUGAAUCUGACGUGUGGUGGCUUUACUGACAACUCACAGACACUGAGAUUGACCCAAGAUUAUUAGUUUAAAACUUCUUGGGUCAUUUCAUGCUGGUUUUAUGAGGUCAGUGAAAUACUUUUCAUUGACAGGGCUUUCCAAAACACUGUAUAUUGUAGAGUAUUAAUGUAAAUCUAUCUGGUUCUGCCAGCAUAAAUGCUGAGGCCACUACUGACCCAGUUCAGAAGUCGUGUGUAACAUGGCUCAUUUUGUAUAGAGCUCCCAAACUUUCACUGUGCACACAGGCAUGGGUGCUCUGUGCUCUGGCCACUCCCUUGCAGUCAGAGUAUGCCUGUCUUUGGCUUGUGGCAUUUUGAGUUUAGGUACAGACAGCUGGCACAGGACAGCCAAAGUACUGCAAUUCUGAACACUAAUAAUUUGUUCUCCAGGAAGUAUUAAUGGCACCAUGUGUGUUUAUCUUGUGAUAUUUACUGGUGCAGCAUAGUUGGGCAAAUGUAGCUUGAUGGUGCUGUGUAGAUACGCCCAACAGGAUGAUUCCCUCUGUCCAUGUUUGGAUGUUAAUGUAAACAGGCUGUUAGCAAAAUAAGCAAAAGAGAUGUGUCAUUAAAACCAGAGCUAAAAGAUCUUCAUAAGAAGGUUUGGCCAAUGUCCAUACCCAAAUAGCUAAUUGCUAACUUUGCAUUUACUACAUGGAGGAGUGGGAGAGAUUGGAAAGUUAAACUUAAGCAGGGAGAACAGUUGCAGGUAAAUACAUUUAUCAAUAACCUUAGAAAGAUUCAUGGCAGCCUCUCACUGGCAAUUAACCAGGCAAUGGCUUGGAGAGAAUCCAUAUCACAAGAAUUCCCUAUACUGCCAGCUGAAUACAUACUCUGCUCUUAUGCACUAUGGGCUGCUGCUAUUGAGUGAAAUGUUCUAGCUUGCUGCAACAGUUACUAGGGUGGAGGAGAGGAAUUUUUGAUAAACAAAUCUGAAGAUAUACAAAUAAUCAGCGGGAGAGAAGGUGCAUAUUUUUCUUCUGUGUGUGCCUACAUUUUUGUGGAUUGUUAAAUAUGUAUUUUAUAGUUUAUGUGAAAUAAGUUCUAAGAAUCUGCUAAUGUUUCUAGCUUAGAAAUGUGAACCACGCUGAUGUGAUGUCUUUGUUUUUUCCUGGCGUGACUCCUGCGAGUCUUGAUAAUAUGCAUGAUAAAUCUUUCACCUUGGCAGAGAGAGAGGGAAGUGUUUAAUAUUUAACCAAGGUUGUCUUUUAUUUCAGCAUCUAUCGAUAGGGGACUGUGGUUACAAAUAUGUAAAACUGUGUUUGUUUUUGCUGAGAAGAGUGCUUGGAAGGAAAAAGGGAUAACCUUUCCCCAAGGAAUAAGUUUCAAUUACAACAAAAGACGAGACUGUUUUUAGAAUAGAUUAAAUUAAGCCCACAUUACAUUGAAAUAGUUUAAUACUUGUUUAAAUAGAACCAUUUUUAAAGCACAGUAGUUAAAAUAGUGGCUUCUGAACCAGUGUGGUUAAGUUGUGCAAGAUGCUGUAUCAGUGCACUCGCUUGGUCAAGUUCUCACGCCAGACUGUCUGAUUUUCCCAGGGGGAGCAGUGUGUCAGGGUUUGUGUCAUAUUAUCUCCUGUUUACUGGGGAAAAUGGACCACUGAACCGGUUACCUGAAGUCACUGAAUCAGACUCAUAAUCUUUACAGUUAGAAAAGACCUCCAAGAUCGAGUCCAGUCUUUGUCUAAAUACCACAUCAACUAAAUCAUAGCACUAAGUGCCAUAUCCAGUUUAUUGAACUCUUCUAGGGAUGGUCACUUCAUCACUUCUCUGGGAUGCUAUAGGCUGCUAUUCCAAUGCCUGACAAGGCUUUCAGUGAAGAAUUUUCCUGAUGCCAACCUGAGGCUGUUUCCUAAUGGUACCUGGGAGAAGAGACUGACCCCCACUUGGCUCCACCCCACUUUCAGACAGUUGGAGAGUGAUAAGGUCCCCCCGAGCCUGCUUUCCUCCAGGCUGAGCACCCCCAGCUCCCUCAGCUGCUCCUUACAGGACUCACUUUCUAGACCCUUCCCCAGUUUUUCUGCCCUUCUCUGGACAUGCCCCUGCACUUCAAUGCCCUUCUUGAAGUGACUCCCAGUCAUGGACACUUCUUGCUACAGUAAUUUUUGCAUACCUAUGGCUUCUUCUAUGCUAGAUAAAGAUCACACUUCCAGUUCUGUAUUUAGUUAAUUUACAUCACUGGGAAAAACUGCUUCUGGUGAUAACAAACAUCCUGCCUGGCCUGCUUUCUGUCCUUCUCAGAAAUCUAGCAGAGGUUUUAAAGGGAAAAUACAGAAGUUAAAAAGACUAAGGCUUAGCAAUCUUUUUUCAUGAAUCCUUAAUAGAUCUGAGCUGCAGCUCAGGUCUGCUGCAGGUAGGAAAGAGUUGUGUAUCACAAUUUCCUCUAUUCAAUGCAUUUUUAACAAGUCCCA